rnacentral:misc_RNA from 1 species
AUGAGUUCCAUGUUAAAUGUUCGUUUUGUGCAAUUGAAACUGAGACAACGAAACUCAAACACAUGUUAAAAUAGUAUAUUCUACUGUUACCUAUGCAAUUUUUCUUUUCUUUUCUUAUUUUGCUUUUUUACUUUUUUUUUUACUGCAAUAAAACAUCAUUUCAAUGUGGACAUUUUCAAUUUAAUAAAAGUAUUCAAUUAUUAUUAAAUAAAAACCUGAACAUUUUUGGCUAAUUUCAUUUCACAUUAAAUUUUAGUAAUAUACAUUUAUUAAAAAAAUACAACUACUUUAUAGUUGCGAGAAUUCGAUUAGUUUUAAAUAAGAGCGAACAUGAUUUUCACUCGAUUAACAUUUAUAAAUUAGAAGGGUAUACACACCGGAAUGCCAGUAAAUAUUUUCUUCUCUAGAAGGCAUCCAUCACCUGUGGCAUCAUGAAGUUCAACAUUUUUUUUUUCGGGGAGACGGGCGAUUCAAAAAGCAAUUUCGUUAUUGUUUUCUAAAAGAUUUGCUAAAAAAGAAUGCCAAUUUUGUGUGAUCCACACUUGGAGUUUAAACCGCUAAUUACCUAAUUAAAUAUCUGAUCAAUCACGAGCUUCAUGGAAACAUAGCCAACAAAAAAUAAAAUAUCUUUGGGAUGAGACACAGCUAAAUUGCAAUGCUUUUAAACGAAUCAAUAGUCAAGAAACUAGAAACCUCCACAAACUGAAAUCAAAGCAAAGCAAAUGAUCAAUGCAAAGCAGGCCAACUAAAGCAACCACAUCAAACCGACAUUAAAAUCUUAUUAAUUUGGACCUUCACAAUUUGAAUCCAUUUCUUUCAAUCAUAUUCUGAGCAGUGAGCACCAGUUUCUUUUCUCUCUAAGGCUUCCAGAGAAUGGUGGUUUCAGCUAUCUUUGAAGUGACAACAUAUGGAUCCAUGUUAGAUGCUGGCCUCCUAUCUUCAAAAUAACCUUUUCCAUUUUUCUCAGUGUCACGGCCAACACGGAUAGAUGCACCCCUGUUUGCAACCCCCCAAGAGAAAGUGUUGAUAUCAGCAGUCUCAUGGCGACCUGUCAAUCGCCUCUCAUUACCCUCUCCAUAAGCAGCUAUGUGCUCCUUGUGACGCAGACCCAACUUCUCAAUAGCCUUCUUGAUCACAUGUAUUCCACCAUCAUUUCUCAUUGACUUGGUGCUGUAGUUUGUGUGUGCACCAGCUCCAUUCCAAUCACCCUGAAUUGGUUUUGGGUCAAAAGAAAGGACGACCCCUGCAAUUUCGGUUAUUCGCUCAAGAAUGUAUCGAGCAACCCACAAUUCAUCACCAGCAGAAAUACCAACAGCAGGGCCAACUUGAAAUUCCCACUGGCCAGGCAUAACUUCACCGUUGAUGCCACUAAUAUUGAUACCAGCAUACAAGCAUGCCUUGUAGUGGGAAUUCACGAUAUCCCUGCCAAAGGCCUUGUCAGCCCCAGCUCCACAGUAGUAGGGACCCUGGGGGCCGGGGAAGCCACCAACUGGCCAUCCAAUAGGCCAUUUAACA